rnacentral:rRNA from 1 species
UACGAAGGGGGGCUAGCGUUGCUCGGAAUCACUGGGCGUAAAGGGUGCGUAGGCGGGUCUUUAAGUCAGGGGGUGAAAUCCUGGAGCUCAACUCCAGAACUGCCUUUGAUACUGAAGAUCUUGAGUCCGGGGAGAGGUGAGUGGAACUGCGAGUGUAGAGGUGAAAUUCGUAGAUAUUCGCAAGAACACCAGUGGCGAAGGCGGCUCACUGGCCCGGUACUGACGCUGAGGCACGAAAGCGUGGGGAGCAAACAGG